AGUGGUGACAGGUGGUGCAUGGUUGUCGUCAGCUCGUGUCGUGAGAUGUUGGGUUAAGUCCCGCAACGAGCGCAACCCUUGUCUUUAGUAGCCAGCAGUUCGGCUGGGCACUCUAGAGAGACUGCCAGGGAUAACCUGGAGGAAGGCGGGGAUGACGUCAAAUCAUCAUGCCCCUUACGAGCAGGGCUACACACGUGCUACAAUGGCGUAAACAAAGGGAAGCGACCCUGCGAGGGUAAGCAAAUCUCAAAAAUAACGUCUCAGUUCGGAUUGUAGUCUGCAACUCGACUACAUGAAGCUGGAAUCGCUAGUAAUCGCGAAUCAGAAUGUCGCGGUGAAUACGUUCCCGGGUCUUGUACACACCGCCCGUCACACCAUGGGAGUCGGAUAUGCCCGAAGUCAGUGACCCAACCAUAUGGAGGGAGCUGCCGAAGGUGGAGCCGAUAACUGGGGUGAAGUCGUAACAAGGUAGCCGUAUCGGAAGGUGCGGUUGGAUCACCUC
rnacentral:rRNA from 1 species